rnacentral:lncRNA from 1 species
GCUUUGAUGGAGUUGAAAUUCAUGGCGCCCAUGGCUACCUAAUCGAUCAGUUUUUAAAAGAUCAAGUAAAUGAUCGAACAGACCAAUACGGUGGAUCUCUAGAAAACCGUUGCCGAUUUGCACUAGACAUUGUUGAAGCUCUUGUCAACGAGAUAGGAGCAGCCAAAGUUGGAAUCAGAUUAUCUCCAUUUGCCGACUAUAUGGAAUCCGGAGAUUCUAAUCCAAAGGAGUUGGGACUUUAUCUAGCCAAUGCCUUAAACAUGUAUGGGAUCCUGUACUGCCACAUGAUUGAGCCAAGAAUGAAGACGGUUGGAGAAAAAUGUGAAUGUCCCCACAGUCUCGUACCCAUGAGAAAGGCUUUCAAUGGUACCUUCAUUGCUGCUGGUGGUUUUGACAUGGAAGAUGGGAAUAAUGCUGUAGCUGAGGACCGUGCAGAUCUUAUUGCUUUUGGUCGUUGGUUCUUGGCUAAUCCGGAUUUGCCAAAGAGAUUUGAGCUUAAUGCUCCUCUAAAUAAGUACAUCAGAGAUACUUUCUACACAUCUGAUCCGGUUCUUGGUUACACUGAUUAUCCAUUUCUUGACAGCACCACUCGCGUUUCGAGCUGACAAGGGAAGCUUGAACUCUCUUAUUUUACUCCUGCAUUGGUCUACAUUGAAGCUUUGCUGUUGCUUUUCUUUCACCGCAAUGUUGUAAUCAAAUAAAAAUAGUUCUCAAUUGGUGUAGUGUAGCUGUUUGAUAUUGUAAGUUGUGGUCUCUGCAAGUACCCUGUCAAGUGUUUCAUUGUAUGUAGCUUGUGGCUAUGCGAAGAUGCAACUGAUUGUAGCCUUGUACGAGAUGAAUUCAAUAAAGAUGGCCUGUCUUUUGGCUCUGUAAUGAUCAUUCCGGCUUGAACUGAAAAAUUUGAGACAUUUUUUUCUUCUCUUAACUAGAAAAAAGAAGGGAAAAAAAACGGAACAAAAUUUACGUCUGUGCCAACAGGUGCACAACGUCACUCUCUGGAUCCUUUCGCUCGAAUCGAAUUCCAAGUUCCCAACACAAAAGGAAGACCUCAAUUAUGAUAUUCCCGCGUUUCAUCCAGAACCUAGCCCCUAUUUAAGGAUCUUCAAUUUUAAUGAAAUGUUUCUCUUUCAUGGGCAGUAUAGGAAGUUCAAUUAAUCGGGGAACUUCAAUUUAUAUGAGUAGGGCGAGCGAUUGUUUUGUUGCAAGUUGGACCUAUCAGUGUCUGAAAGGAAACUCCCACCUGGAUCAGUAUUGCCAUGAAAUGAAACCAGAGUAGUAGCCAUAUGACUUUGAAUUCAUAAUUCUAAUUUGUUGUAUUCUCAGUUUAUUAAUUUGAGUGCGAAAACUUGAAUUAUACACCGUCUAAAUACAUUUGUUAAGGGGUAACAUGUAAUUUAAUUGUAGAAAAGAAAACAAAAAAGGUACUCACAUCUUAUCUUCAAAAAAAUAACACCAACAUAAAGAGUGCACAUCACAUAAGAAAUAAACGUCACUUGAGCAGCCAAUAUUGACAUAGUAUUCGUGAUAUGAAGCCGUUUAGAGUGCGUUCCAUGAACAUUAGAACAGUUGCAAAUUUGGAACAGUUUCAUGCACCUUAUAAAAGAGAAGAAAAGUACAACCAUAAACUUUACCAAACAGCAUAAGCAGUGAGUUUCAUGCACCUUAAAUCGUUUGUUUUGCUUAUAUUAGUAUUUGUGUUAGAGGUUAUUCGUACUAUAUAGCCGACAUUGCUAGUCUUUCAGUUUUUUGUACCUUUUUUAUUUUAGGGAAAAUGUCUUAAUACACAAAAACUGUUCUAGGAUAUUUUGUAUCUUUCUAGAUAUUCUUUAUAUGUGUCUUGACCUUAUGCCAUUAGGAUAUGUAGUUUGACUAGAUUUAUGUAUUCAUAUCCUUACCAUAUUGGUAUUGUGUAAUUCCCUAUAUAAAGGGCUCCUAUCAAUGAAUAAGAUGAUGAUUCUCUUGCUAUCUCUUUGUCUAUACACUUUAUACUUCAUCACGUUAUCAUGCACUUUGUUCUAACCCUAGAGCCAAUAAGCCAUCAUUUGUUUUCCAAAUCCUAAAAUCGGGCAGCCUUGUUUUUCCCGAUUUUCGACUAAAAUUCCGACUGCCCUCCGCCGAAAUUUUAUAUCCCCAGAAAGCUCUCUCCGCCCCGGAUCCAACGCCGCCGGCCUCACCCUGAGAACCGGCCGGAAAGUCUCCAAACCGGCCGCCGGAAGAUUCCAGACCGCCGCCGCUACCGACCACCGGUUCACCACCUUCCCUUGCUCUAAUCAACCUGAAUUUUUGACUGAAGCUUCCCCAUCCAGAGCUGCUCCUCCUAUCAAAUUUUCAGCCCCAAAUUCGAAGUAUAAGUAGGCGAAACGUUGUUUCUCCUCUCUGCAGCCUCUAGAAACCAAAGAUUUCAAGAUUGCUCGUCUUCUAAGGAAACCAGAAAGGUAUGUUUUGAAACCUUAAACUUUUCCAAGUUCAAUAACUUGGGGAGGAUAAAAUCCUUUCCUCCCUUCUCCAUCUCCAUUCUAUGCUUGGGAUUUUGUGUGUGCAGGUACUAAAAAUCCCGGAAUUUUAUUCGCGGGUCAAGAGUGUGUUUGAUCACUUUUGCUUCCUUGUCCGGGUUGUGUAUGAUCAACCCCGACCUUUCUCCGGAUUGUGUUUGAUCAAUCCGAGGCCUUUUCCGAAUUGUGUUUGAUCAAUUCGCGGCUUUUUCCGGAUUGUGUAUGAUCAAUCCGAAGGACAAACCAUUAAAAGCAUUGUUUGUGACCUCUAUCGAGUCUCAUAACAACUUGGUUUUGUAUGCAAGAGUAAUGUAACAUUCUGCUCAUUUGAGUUUUGACGCACUCGAUGCCUAAGGCGAAUCUUGGCUUGGUAUUUGUGGAACCUUUCAUUGCAAAGGAUUAAACCACAUGUUUUGACCCCCAGGCUAACAAGCCUAGAUGCCGAGAUUUCAUAUCUCAUGCACUCAAAGUCUUUGACGUGUCACAUCGACAAAAGUAAUGACCACAAAGUACUGUGGAAUGCACUCAUGGAGCGUUUCUUGAAACGUUCAUAUAACUCUACUUGUUGAGUUAUUAGUCAAGUGGAUUGAUUACCACCUUAAUUGACUAUAUAUUGUCGAUGAUCUUUUAUGGCAUCAUGAUCCAUAAUCUUUAGCGGAUUCGAUCAUCAUCAAGUUCUCUAGGUCCUCCAAGUUGGUGUGGAAUUACCAACAAGACUUGAUUUUGAUCAUACAAACGGGAAUUGUAUAUACGCUAAUGUGAUAACUUAUUUGGGAUUAUCCCCUAAUGUGGGGACAACAAUAUGGGUCAUGGCAACGGCAGAAAACGUCGUGCCGAUGUCUAGAAAAGAGGGGGAGGUGUCGCCGGCUCUAAUAGCGACACUCCCGGUCUAGACACCAUUUUGUCAAAACUACUCACGUCAGCUCAUGACAAUACAACUGUUGUGGAUCUUUGAAUCACUGAUUCAAGAUUGUCAAGCUUCUUCAAAUUGUGAAUGCAUACAAAAAGGUAUAGAAAAUCAAUAUGAGGACAAGAACGUCAUCCUCAUGAUCGCGAAUUUCAAAGAUUCGGAUCCUACUCUAGCUACCCAUGACUUUGACGUCAUCAACUAGACAUUGAUUUUCGUUCCAAGCUAUAUGUACUAAGGCGUUGUAUUGACGUCCUUCGUCUAUUUGAGACCUCGAUGUACUCACAUUAGCAAUAACGAAUGCCUUGAGAAUUUUUUCGAAGUUAUGAAACUAUUCUCCUCUUAUGGUUCGUAAGCACUACCGACCCUCCACGGACAUGCCCGGUCAUACUGACUUGGAGUUACCGAAAGCUUUUGAUUUUGGAUCCCCCUAUGCUAUUAAACCAAUUGCUGUCUUACAAAAGACGUUGAAGACUUAUCAAAACCGGCAAAUUAUCAUCAUGAUCGAAUCCUCUAGGUCCUCUGAGUUGGUUUAUGUUCAUGUCAGGAAGCUUUUGCUAACUAGUCAUGGAGUUUACGACCUUAGAAUGACCGAAAGGACUUGGUUUUGAUCAUACACACGUCAUUUUUGGCUAAGGCAAAAACCUACACGCCACCUGCAAGCUUCACAGAUUCGCACAUGCCAAUUUUGCAAAAAAACAGCAAUCUGUCCCUUCUGGACAGUCAAUUUCGUUUGAGCUUUGUGAACAGCUCCGGACAAACCAGACAGUGAGCUUUAUAUCAUUGGAAAGCUCUACGAGUCUAGUUUUCAGAACAUUUUGCGGUUCAUCUAUAUCUAUUUUAACGAAGAAGUUAUGGCUGUUUUAGUGCGCAAAGGUCAUUCUGCGCGGAAAUUUUUAUGCACUCUCGGGAUUGCAGCUUUUUGUAGCUUCGUUCAAUCCUUCUAAAUGGUUCAAGUGGAACUAUUUACUCUCUUAUCUACUCUAUUUUGUAGAUCUGUCUCAUCGAGACAUUGAGUGCUUCGCAGAUAGUGGAACUAUCCAUAACAUUCUAAGGAAUUGGCAACUAUCUUUGGAUUUUGUGCCUUUGUAAAUCUUCUGUGACUAUAAUGAUUGAAUCAUACCGGUCAUUCAGAGACACGGUUUAGCUUGAAUCUUGAUGCCUCAUGGCACCAUGAUCAAUGUCACAGAUACCCUCUAUGCAUUGAGAGGCAAUCGAACCAUAUUGAGCUUUAAAGACAUUCAUGCUAAUAGUUUUCAUUUGAAAACACAUUGUGAGAAUGAACCAGAAUUCUUUUGUGUAUACCUUCUCAUGAAUGCGGACUGAAGCGCAUCUUGGAGAAAUUCAUGAGUCAAUCUAGUGGACUGUAUGUCACUACGAUUCGAAUAUCGAAUCCCAUGUUAUCGCCAAACAUGAUAUUUGGGACACCGACUCAUAUAGGCUUUGGUUUGACCAAAUUGGUCAACCUGGAAGAGAUAUAAUGGUCCAAAUUUUGAGAAAUUCUCAUGGACAUCCAUUCUUCCGCUCAAAACGAAGACAUUCGAGAUCUAGCAUCACCAUGAAGCAUGGUGGUGACCUGGGGGACAUUGACGUCACCCAAACACGACUCCAAUUUCCUAGAGGUCGUCCGGUCAAUUCUUCAAGCAAUUGAGGUGCACCGGCCUUCCCUCGAUGUCGCAUUGGCCCCCUGCAAUGCUCAUUACUCGUUUUGAAAGCCUAUUCUUUAGCUAAAUUAGGAGUAAGACCCUCCUACGCUAAAUAACACAAAAGUGAACAUUCUAUUCUUACAUAAAAUUAUGUAGAUAGAUACAACCAACUUGCGGACACCUUUUAUGCUUUAUGGUGUUGGUUGAAGUGUUAGCACACUGGUCACGUGUUAGUUGUUACACUAUUAUCUACUGCUUAUGCUGCUUAUACUUCUACGGGCUCACUACCCAUUCUUUAAAGAAGUUUAUUGGGAUGUAAGUUGAAGUGUCCUGUACCCCAUGUUCACACACAAUACGGUCUCACCGAGGCUACGACUAAGCAACUUUAGCUUGUCGCUCGAACAUUAUUGAUGCGCACUAAUCUUUCUAUUGCGUCUUGGGGCUAUGCAAUAUUUGCAUGCAGCUUUACUAUUCAUCUACGACCCACUAUCAUUGAAUAUUUUUGUACUACAGCUCGUGACUGUGUACCAGGAUUGCAAUCCUUGAGCUCAAACAAGAUUGAAACGGAUCUCCAAUCCUUGAGCUCGGCUAGAUGUUAUUUCUAGGUGUCAAAUCGCAUUGCCACUGCGUACAAUGAUGGGUCAUUUGAGAUGAAUAAAUAUUUAGGUUGGAUGUGAACCUCCACCUAUAAUCCACAUAUGUAGAAACCUUGCCAGACGAUCUCUUUCACCGCUAUAUUGCGGAUGGUCAUUUUGAUGAGACAAUUUUCCCGCCAUUAGGGGGAGAUAAGAACACAAGUGUUCAAGUGGAAGGACGUGAAUUGUCGUGGUUUGUCCCCACUAAGUCUCAUCUUGAUCCCAAAUGCUUAAAGUGUUAAAGUGACGAGAUCACAUGCUGCAAAUAUGUCUGCAAGGAUUGAUGUCCUACAAAAGGACAUGGUGCGACCAAAAGGUGUUGGUCUUGACGCCAUCACCAUGGAUAGUGAUAUAGUGACGCCAUAUAGUGGCAAAAUUGGUGUCACAAGGCCGUGUGGCUCCCCAAAAGGAGGGAGACCCUUAGGUUCGAUACUUUCUUGCACUAAGAAGAAAGCGAGCUUGGCACAACCUAAUCCAUUGAUUAGUGAUACUCAAAUCCGUCUCAUGAAGUCUGAAUUGUGAUUAUCGUUAGGGGACGCCUCAAUGUCAAAUCCAAUCCAUAUAGAGAUCUCUACAAGUAUUACACUAGUGUACAUGAGGACAUGGGAUAAUGAGUCUACUAUCGAACCACCCUUCGUUGAUCCACCCUUCGUUGAUGGAUAUCAACUUAGUUGAUUGGCCUAAUGGAAAGAUGCAAUCCAGCAUUAACAAAGAGAUAGGUCCUUGGGCAGGUGAUGCCGACACCGCAAGCUAAACCCUAUCAACUAUACUUUUGUUAGAUAGCGUAGUGAGAAUAAGAGUUUAGACUCACCUUAUGGUGCAAUGUCUCUCACUAUCACGCACUGGGAUCGACUACGAUGAGAUGUUCUCUCGUAAUGGAUGUCAUUGAACUCCACUACUUUGUCAGUUUGGUAGUUUCCGAAUAACUGAACAUGCAGCCUAUGAAUGUGGUCAUAAUAACAUCUCUAUGGGAUCAGAGAUAUACAUGAAGAUCUUACACAGACUUCAUUCAUCUGAAUCAAGUGGCUCUAGACCACAGGAGCACGCGUUUGCUAAAUGUAUUGAAAUGCACAUGGACUCUACUUGAUUUGGAAGGGAUAUGGUGAAUUAUGUCUUUGCGUGUUCAUUCCAGAUUUACAUGGACUCUUGAUGGAUCAAGUGAUGCCAAUAUGUAUCAACAUCCGAAGAAAAAGAUCUUGGGAAUACACGGUCUCGAUAAGGCACUCGAUGACUGUAUUGAUGAUGAUUUUCCAUCAAUCGGCUUAGGCGCUCUAUAACUAGUGAGGCCUACAUAUACUCACAUGAUUAGUCAAGGUCUUUGCUCUAAAGAGAGAUCCGUUGUAUUGUCUAAAGCAAGAUGACAAAUAUGUGUUAAGAGAUGGAGUUCCCAUCUAAGUACAAUAAGACGCAUCAAUGUACUCAACACAAUACGAAAGACUUGACAUCUCAUUCGCUAUGAAAAGUUGUAAAGCUAAGUGUAGCUAUGCGUCCACGCAACGCCAAUGUAAUGGCAGUAACUCCUUUUUCAAUACUUAAUGGUAUGAAAGGUUGAGGCUAAUUCUAUCCCUACAUAAGAAAGACACAUCAAAAGCGAAAUCAGAAUCUGCCAAGUUUCAUAGGUCAACUUCCACAGGACCUAUAAGAAGUCUCACUCACUGGAAAAUGGUGAAAUUGGUACCAUUGGAAAGGUUUAUGUGUCUACUUUCCAGGGACACCAACCAUUUGAUCAUACCUAUCAUAUUGAGUGAGUUAUGGCCGUUUUCGUAAAGUAGGACUAAUCUGUCCGAGAAUCUGAUUUUGGCAAAACAGUCAACCUCGACGGGACUUGGUGAAUAGCUCCUGACGAACCAGAACGUGUGUAAUAUACAGUUGGAAAGCUAAAUGAGUCUAUUUUCCAAAACCGUUUACGGUUCGUUCAUAUGUAUUUCCUAGAGGAAGUUACGGCUGUUCUAGUAACUGAAGGUCAUGCUACGCGGAACUUAUGUUUUGAGUUCACAAGCGACCUUCUCCUCAAGAUCUAAGUGUAAAGGAUCAUUUGAGGACAAACCGGCAUGAUUUAGUUAAUCAUUGCCCAAUGUCACAUUUGAAGACAUGUUAAAGAGCAUUGACAUGCUAAGUUGUUGAAACUUCCGUGAUUAGUAAGAAUCAGGAAGAGCCCUAUGAUUGAUGUAAAGAUCAGGGGGAGGUGCAAACUUCAGGGGGAGUCUAGCACAUACAUACAUGUCACUAUCAAAUGUGAAGGGUGCGUUGUACUCUUUUUCUCAUACGAUCAAGGUUCAGUUUUUCUCCCAUAGGGUUUUUGUGACUUGACGAGGUUUUUGACGAGGCAACAGAUCAGCACCAUCGGCAUAUCAGCGCGCGGCACAAGGGGGAGUGUUUUAGGAUAUUCUAUAUCUUUCUAGAUAUUCUUUAUAUGUGCCUUGACCUUAUGCCAUUAGGAUAUGUAGUUUGACUAGAUCUAUGUAUUCAUAUCUUUACCAUAUUGGUAUUGUGUAAUUCCCUAUAUAAAGGGCUCCUAUCAAUGAAUAAGAUGAUGAUUCUCUUGCUAUCUCUUUGUCUAUACACUUUAUACUUCAUCAAAAACAAGGAUUUUAAAGCCCACUUUAAUAUAAAUCUUUUACCUUAACCCAUUCCAAUAAUUCUUAAUAAAAUAACAAAUAUGCCCCUGUUUUGAUAUUCCUCUCCGAUCAGAUCUAACAUCUCUCUCUCAUACAAACUUCGGCCAACUCUUUCAUCCACAAAUACAUUUUUGAAAUAGAGUAAUUUACAGUCACAUAUUAUUAUGUUUUUCUCCCAGUUUCCAUAGAUUUAACCUGAUUUUACUUCCUAUUUUCUGGAUGGUCGAUAUUUCCUAAUCUUCGUUAUUUUAGACUUUUACAGCAUGUUUGUUUCCCAGGACUACUUAUGCUCACCUUAUUAUCAACAAUAGUCCAUGACUCUUCAAACCUGGCUUAAGUUGUAUAAGACAUGUCCCAUGUUUGGUACUGCAUCGGACUAAUGAGCAUAAUAGUCCAAAUACUGAUACCUCAUGUUUGCCCAGAAAAAUAUUGAGGUUUGCCUAGAAAAAAAAGAGCAGCUCUGUAAGGCAAAGAAAAGAAGAAACAAUAUUUGAGAAGUUCUUCAUCUUACAAAACACAAGCAGACUACAUGCCUUCUCAUAUCAAUAUAUACCCUAGCCUGCAUCAUAUUUGCUAUCAGAGUUCACAUCCCAUAUUCAUACAGAGAACAACCAAAUUCUCUUAAAAUUCAUACAAAUACAUACAAGACAUAGAACAUUCACACAAUUGGAGGGGAUGGCUGAGCGUCACAUUAAGGAAUAGUAUUCUGCAAUUAAGCAAAAUACAGAUACACAGCCUUCUGAUGAUCAGCAAAACGGUUAAAUAACAAAGGCAUAAGAAUAGCCUGUGAAGAAGUAGAUGCAUAGCCUGAAAAAGAAGAAGACGACCCAUGAAUGAAAUUGUGUAGAUCAACCAUUUCGUCAAACACUCUGCCUUUUUUUCACCGCACCAUUUUCACCCAACCCAACCCAACCCAACCCUAAGAUCCUUCCUCCCCACAAAUCCACCAUCACCCACAUCUUGUGACCCCUUUUCCUCAUCUGGGUUCUUCCCAAAACCUCGUUUCUUCAACCCAAAUCCAUGAACAACACCACCGCCAUUGUUGGGUCUGUGACCGAAACCCUUUACCCUUCUUGGUUCAAUUAAGCUACCCAGACACCCGCAAGAGAGAAUGAGAAAGGAGGAAGAGAGCAAAUUGCACCUGGGCAGGAGCAGUCAAGCUAGUUGGAGUAGAAGAAUGGAUGAGCAACGAGGAACAAUGAAGCGUUAGAGAGUCCGCCCAUUUUUGGGGCCGCUCCGUAAGAAUGUCAAAAGAGGGUGCAGACGCUACGUAUGCUCAUUUAAAUGAGUCCCGAGUCCCACCAAACACAGGACAAGGCUUAUUUUCUUAACUAAGCUAGUCCAAUCCCUGUUAAUCCAGAGUAACAAACACCACCUUAGUGCUUAUACAGAUGAGAUCAUUUUUGGUUUUCCAAACUGUGCGAAUUGCGAAGGUGGACAAAAAAUUUUAUGAAAAAAUAAAGUAAAGGAAAGCUUAUUUCGAUGAAAACCUAACCUCGUCAUUUGGCGCGAAGUUCAUUUCACUAAACGCUCUCACUAAGCACCAAAGAGAGAGAAAGAGCCCAAGAGCGACUGUACGAACAAAUUUCUAGGGUUUUUUCUGCUACGAUCAAUCGGAGUUAGUAAGACGCAGAAGCUAGGGUUUCCGAGCUUGAGGAGCUUGGAUCAGUUCAAGUCCCUCUCGAAAUCGAAAUCGGCCUCCGGAGGACCUCCGAAGACCUUCGCCUACUCUUCGCUUCCGCCGGAGUCGACCUCGUCGGGAAGCUUCGCGAACUUGAAGCUCACCGUAGGUUCGGAUUGAUCGGAAUUUCUCGGUUUUCUAGCUGAUUUCGUCGGUAAUUUUGAAUAUCUGUGACGAUUUCGUGUUGGAUUUCUUCGUUUUUGCAGAGAAGUUAGUGAAAGAGCAAGCUUCUGUGAAAACAGAUCUGGAAAUGGCUGUACUCUUUCUCUCUCUCUCUCUCUCUCGAUCUUCUCUACGAUGAGCCUGUGAUUGUGCGUGUGAAUUUCACGCGCUAGCUUUUGCGAAUGUGCUUAGAUUUGUGUUUCACUCUGCGCGACUGCGCAUCAAUUUGUUAGGGGGGUUCAAUUUUAUCUCCAUGUAGAUGUUUUCAUUGGUAUUUAAACGAGUGAUUUUCCUGAUAAAUGCAGGACACUAAGCUGAAACAAUCCAUGGAGCACAUCCGUGCGUUAGAAGAAAAAUUGAAGGACGCUCUCAAUGAAAAUGCUAAGUUUAAAGUGAAGCAGAAGGAAGAUGAAAAGCUGCGGGGAUUAGAGUCUUAAGUUUUCUUCGACUAAAACACUGUGUGAUCAACUCACCGAAACUGUACAGCUCUCAGCUGGUCAAGUUCAGGAUGGUGAGUGCUGUUGUUCUGUGCUGUUUUGAGCUUUAAAAUUUUGGUGUAGAUUACAGAAACAUUGUGCUAUUGAUAUUUAACUUGCUCUAACAUAAAGAGGCCUUUGAAGGCAAACUCUCUGCGAGUGCAGUAGCUCUUGAUGGUUUGAGUCAACAAAUGAAUGAUCUGUCUAUAAAGCUAGAGUCAGCUGAGGAAACUAUUAGGACUCGUAAGUUAUUCCCCUUUCAUUUGCUAUUUUUGAGAGGAUAUUUUUAAAAUGUAGAAUGUUUGAAGAUGUAAUGUAUAAUCGGAUAAAGGUGCAUUCAGUGAUGUUCUUGAAUUUUGAAUGUAGGUGAAAAGGAGCUGGAGGAAUGCAGACUCGAGAAAGAGGAGACAGAUUAACUAUACAGAAAUGAACAGUGCAGAACUGCAAAUCUCAUAGAGGAAAAAGGUUAGCAUCUCACGCAUUCUGAAUUUAACUUCCAAUUUGUUUAGAUAUUAUGGGGUCAUUGUGUUUAUGGCCAUCAGACAACCUGGAAGUAAGUAAUGAUAGAUUACAUAACCAGGGAAAUUUACCAUGCCCAAGUUUUUUUAUUUUAUUUUUUAUUUUUUUUAACUAUGAUGAGUUGUAUGGAAAAUGAUUAAAGCUCAUGCAUCAGGUACUUUAAAUCUGUUUUUAAACUCACAUCCUACGUACCUCCAAAAUGGAGAUGGUAUAACUAGGCACAUUGCGUAUGUACAUAUUAGACUAGGUCUUUCAAUUUAGGAACCAGAACCACCCAAGUUACUUGUAAUAUGAAUGGUUUCUUACCCUUUAAGUGAUGUUCAAAUCUAUUCUUAUGUAUGUUGGCAUCACCAUUGUAACUCUAGCAGAUGCUAUGAUUAAGACUUUCAUUAUAACAGCAUUCAUAUUUCUUUUCCUUGCAGACGCUAUGAUUAAGAACUUUGAAGAAACUCUAGCAACUAAUAGGUUGGCUACGGAGAGUUUGAACACUAAAUUGGGUGAGGUGCGUCUUGAGUUAAAGUUAAAAGAGGAUGAAAUCAGGUGUUUGAUAACUGCACAGGAGAACUUGGAAACAGAAAAGCAUGAGCAACGAUGACCUUUUUAAGAGAUUAGAUAUGUCAAUCCUCAAGAUAAAGAACAUGGAAGGUUUUAUUCAUUUGUUGACUUCAAUUUGGCUGAAUUGGAUAGACAAAGUUUGAACUUCCUGGAAAAGUUUCAUAAGCUAAACUCUCUCUAUGAGGCGUGCUUCCAGUUAGUCAAUCAGGAGAAAGACCUUUCUGCCAAGCUUGCUCAGAGACAGUGUGAUCAACUGCACAACAGGUUCUUGAAUUUAACAUCAGAAAAAGAUGCUAUACAAUUGGUAAAUAAGGAGUUGAACAAUAGGGUCAUGGAACUUCAGAAAGUUCAGGAGUCUAUUAUGACACAACUUUCAGAUGAAAGCCGUACAACCAGAGAUAGGAUACAGAAGUUGGAGUCUGAAACUGAAGCUCUGGUCUCCAAGAAGAUUGAAACACAGAAGUUGGUGUCCGAAUCAGAAUUGCAGAUUGAUUCUCUCUCAGAAAGUUCAAGAUCAUCUGAGAAUAAAAUGGUAUGCAAAUUCCAAUACAUACAUUUUAUAUUGUGAUAUGCGUUUUUUCCAUACUAAACAUUUUUUGUACUAUCUUGCAGCAAGAUCUGCUGAUCAAAAUCUCAGCACUAGAAACUGAGAAUAGAGAUAAUACAGAGAAACUACAAGCAGAGAUACAGAAGAAAGCGGAGCAAAUAGAUGGUUUACUGAAGGAAGGUGAAACACAUGAGCAGCAUGUAGAUUUGAUGGAUAUACAAGUCAGCAAGCUUCAUAACACAUUGGAGGAAAAGGAGUGACUUAUUGUGCAAUAUAACGAGAGAAGAAUCUGGAAGAACAGAUCACACAGGUUUGUAAUUUAAAUGUGAGAUGUUUGUAAAACCUUAUCCCUUAUGUACUUACAGAUCUGUACUUUGUUGCAGAAUCGUGCAUCGCUGACUGCUGCUGAAACUAGACUCGUGGAAGAUGAGAAGCAAGAUGAUUUUAUGUUUGGUUGUUUCUAUUGGUUUUAUGUGCUUAUUUGGGGUUUCUUGACAUACAUAAUUGGCCGAUAUCAUAAUAAUACUAUGAUUCAAUUUUCCAAUUUUCAAGUCAUACUAAAGAUUUGGUGCUUAUUUUCCAAUUGUCUUAUACCUCUAACCAAAUGUACUCUAUUCUCAUGUGCAGUCAGACCGAUUUCAGUACAUCGGAUUAUCAGACCCAAAUUGUUUUAGUAUUUUCUUUUACAUGUUUCUACCGGUGCUAAAGAUGAGAUGUUAUUAACAAACAGCUAACACCACUAGGUAAUAGCUUCUAACACAUUCUCAUAUGUAAUAUUAUUAUUUAUUUUUUUCACAGGCUAUAGAUGUGAGCUUUUAUUGCGUGAGUUUUGAUACGGAGUGUACCUUUGGUUGGCCUGUCACGGUUAUUUGUAUUACUAUCUUUGACUUUUGGAUAGUGAAGACGUACGGUUAUCGAAAUAUUAGUUCGAGGUGGAAGAAUUCUAAAGAUGAGGAUGCAAAUCGUGUGCUCAACACCAAGUCAGUUGGCCCAGAGGUUAUAUCUAAUUUUAAAGUUUUUUUUCUUUUUUUGAUACAUAAUUUAAAGUUUUUUGUAUCAUGUUUACUAUGCUAAAUUGGUUGGCUGCAUAAUCUUUGGUUUGAUGUAGGCAAUGGCUGGUUUAGAUGGAGUUGCAUUUGUGGAGUUUUGGUUGUUUCUUUGUAUCAUGGUAAGUAUAUUCAUGAAAACAAUUAGGGUAAAGGGAAGAACUGAAACGUGUAUUAUUUGUUUCAUGGUACUCAUUCUUGUUUUCAUUGGUGGUUGGUCUGGGCUGGUGAUAUUGUCGGUCUUCAAGGAACAAGUUGGACGGGUUAUUGUAGCUGCAAUUUGUCUUAGGCUCAAGCUUGUGAAUUCACAAGCAUACAAUAACCUGCCAAAUUCACAAGCUUGAGCCCAAGACAAAUUGCAGCUACAAUAACCUGUCCAACUUGUUCCUUGAAGACUGACAAUAUCACAAGCCCAGACCAACCACCAAUGAAAACAAGAAUGAGUAGCAUGAAACAAAUAAUACACGUUUCAGUUCUUCCUUUUACCCUAAUUGUUUUCAUGAAUAUGCUUACCAUGAUAUAAAGAAACAACCAAAACUCCACAAAUGCAACUCCAUCUAAACCGGCCGUUGCCUACAUCAAAUCAAAGAUUAUGCAGCCAACCAAUUUAGCAUAGUAAACAUGAUACAAAAAGCUUUUAAAUUAUGUAUCAAAAAAAAACUUUUAGAUUAGAUAUAACCUCUGGGUCAACCGACUUGGUGUUGAGCACACGGUUUGCAUUCUUAUCUUUAGAAUUCUUCCACCUCAAACCAAUAUUUCGAUAACCGUACGUCUUUACUAUCCAGAAGUUAAAGAUAGCAAUACAAAUAACCGUGACAUGCCAACCAAAGUUCCACUCUGUAUCAAAGCUGAUGCAAUAAAAGCUCACCUCUAUAGCCUGUGAAAAAGAAUAAAUGAUAAUAUUAUGUAUGAGAAUGUGUUAGAAGCUAUUACCUAGUGGCGUUAGCUGUUUGUUAAUAACAACUCAUCUUUUAGCACCGGUAGGAACACGUGAAAGAAAAUAUUAAAGCAAUCUGGGUGUAAUAAUCCGAUGUACUGAAAUGGGUCUGAUUGCACAUGAGAAUAUAGUACAUUUGGUUAGAGGUAUAAGACAAUUGGAAAAUAAGCAUCAAAUCCUUGGUAUGACUUGAAAAUUGGAAAAUUGAACCAUUGUAUUGUUGUGAUAUCGGCCAAUUAUUCAAGGAACCCCAAACAAGCACAACAAACCAAGAGAAACAACCAAACACAAACUUUUGCCUACGUCCACCGGCAGAAAACACUUAACACUAUUAAUAAUACACCAAAGAAUAAAACACUUAACACUAUUAAUAAUACACCAAAGAAUAAGAAAACAAGGACUCUCUUCUCUUCCUAUCUUUAACCGAGAAUGGAACACACUUUGCUCUUUUUCUCUGCGAUACCAAAACCUAGAGCUGAAACCCUCCUUAUAUAGCUAUAAGGAUAUCAGAUCUCUUCACCAAAUAGGAAAUCUAAUCCUAUUAGUGGUAGGCAAUGAUGCCUCCUCCUUCUCUGUAAUCUAUUACAGGUAUACAGCCUCGGCCACUGGUCGGCUGGGAUCUAGUUCCGAAUUUGGGGGAUGUUGCUGCAGUGUUGAAAAUCGGGCAUGCUGGACUGCGUUUGUUGAUGCAGUGGAAGUCUGGACCAUUGCCUGCCAUCCAUAGCAAGCAUGGCUCCUUCAGGUGUAGUUUUCUAUUGUGUAUGAUAUACUAAAAUCAGCUUACUUGCAUUCACUGGAUGGAAGGAAAAGAAUUCAAAAAAUGAGCCAGCAUGACAGCACCUGAAUGCUUUUGAUCAACUGGAUUUGGGACAGGUCAGAUCAUUACUCUAUUGAGCUAUUGCUGGUGCCUGUGCAGAAGCUGCCACUUAUCCAUUUGAAGUUGUGAGGAGACAGCUUCAAUUGCAAUCCCAGGCUACUAAAAUGAGUACCUUGUCGACUUGUAUUAAGAUAGUUGAACGAGGAGGGGUCCCAGUACUCUAUGCAGGACUUGUUCCCAGCUUGUUACAGGUAUUUGUUAAAAGAUCCUUGUCUAUUAUAUGCUAUUUUCUUGUUUUAGUUAAUAUGGUUAUUAGGUUUUUUGCACUUGUAAACAUGGUCAUAGAUUCUGUGUAUAAAAUAGGAAAAGUGUAGCCAAUCUGUAUUGCUUUUGAAUUUAUUGUGUUCAGUGAUUUGGAAUUCUUUUCCUAGGUUGGUGGUUCUGCAUACAUCUCUUUCUCUAGGUAUAAUUAACAUUCUCAUAUUCUGACCUUUACCAGUAAACUUCUCACUUUCCCCUUAUAGCAAGUCUUUUCUUCUAAAUCAGUAAAUUUCCGAACUAACUGGUUGUUCAAACUCUAUCCUUCUGUCGUCAUUUUCCAGAUGUGUCCAUAUCAUAUUUCGAAGUUUCUGUGGGAUGGAGUUAUGCUCCAAAAGGACCAAAACUGAGGCCUUUAUUAAAUUUUCUUGUUUUUUUUUUUAUCAUUAUUUUUCAUACUUCGCCUUGUCAUACUAUGAUUCAAUUUUUCAAUUUUCAAGCAUACUAAGGAUUUGGUGCGUAUUUUGAUCACUUUAUCCAAAUAUUCCAUAUAAUUGUUAUUAGGAUGUGAUAUCCAACCUCUCUCCUAUCAACCAAUAUACUACUGUAAACAGAGAUUGUGUUGGGUUUUGUUUUUCCAACCUUCCAGGUCUACAAUUUUUCAAAUUCAAUUAACCUUAUCUAGUAGACAAAAAAAGAACCACACAGACCCACUAAUUAUUUCAAGAGUUAACAACAAAAAUUGAGGAACAAUCUGAUAUGCACUAGGACUAGUGGGAAUGUGGAAGUUCUGAGAAGGAAACGCUGUGAUGUUGCUUUUUGUUCCCCCUUAUUUAAGCUGCCAUCAUGCUAUGGCUGAGUUGUUCCGGUUUUCAGGUAAAAUGGAGUUCUGUUAGGGACAAGUCAUUGCCUGAGCCGCCAACGGCUGUUUUUCUGCAUGGAAUUUUAGGUAGCAGGAAAAAUUGGGGUACGUGGGUGUUAGUAUUCUUGAAAUAUUAAUAAAAUUCUUUUUACCUCGAAUUUUGUUUUUGUUGUGUCUUAAAGUUAGAAGAAAUUGAUAGAAACAUUUUUAUUGGUUUCUUGAUUACUAGGCAAUGCAUUUUCUGUUAAGUGUGAAUCUUGUUCCUGCCACUCCUGUAAUGGCAAUUGCAAGUGGAUUAACUAAAUUAUUUUUUAAUCAGAUCUUCACAUUGUUGUACAGUGAUUUUUUUUUCUUCCAUUUGAUAAUUAAAACAAAAAAAAGCUGAGGAACAUAUUAUUAAAACCCUUAAUUGAUGUUCUCAAACCUUUCUAUCGGGUCUUCUGUUUUCUUUAUGUUGAAAAACCAACUUUUAAACUACAUGCAUCACUGACUUUGUAAUAAUAAUAGAAAACUAAAGUUGAUAACAGUUAUUUAGUGGACAUGUUGGUUCAAGUAGGCUGGCUGACACUGUUCUCAAAUUGGAUAGUUUUAUAAUAUUGAGAAUCAUAUCAACUCUUCCACUUCCAUCUGGAACCAAAUGAUUUUUGACAACGUUGAGCUGCUUUUUCUAAGCAUUUGUUAACAAAAAAAUUUAGUGUCAAAUGUAGAAUCCGGAAAUUUUGAUCACUAACCUUUUAUUCUGUCCAUUUCCCCAUCUAUUUGUGUGGUUUUGAGUUCAGUUAGUACAAUCACUGGAAGAUCUGUUUUGUGUGUUUUUGUUUCCUGUUGAUUGUAGAACGUGGAGUAUCAUUGAAUUCUGAGUAAAACUCACUUGCCUGUUCUGUUAUUUUGAGUUAUUUUUGUGAAAUACAUUCCUACAAUAGAGGAGGACUGGCCGGAACUGGCACGGAAUGAAAUUCUUGCACAAAACUGACUCUUUGGAAAAGGACUAUGCAAGUCUCGUUUACGAAAUAAAGACAUUGUUUGAUAACAAAUUUGAGAGAAGGAUACUUUAGACUUUCACACAAAGUACCAUUUCUUAUUAUAUUUGAAAAUGAUAUUUUUGUGAUGGACUUCCUUUCGGUAUUAUCCUUGGUAAUUCCCCAUUAUUGAAGAACCUUUUGAGUCUGAAUGUCCAUCCUAUUGUUCUUUGAGAAUUUUGUUGAACGGAAAACUAUGUCGUGGGCACAGAAACUAUCUGAUUGUCACCUUAGUUAUUGUAUCUAAUCAUUACCUCCCCGGAUAAUUUGUUUUGUUUUCCUUACAAGUUAUCAGAGUCCUUUGUUGUAGUCUGCUGCACCUACAGGUGUUUUCUGGGAGUCAUGUGCAGAAGUAGUUCAUAAUUCAUUAUUUAAUGUCUGCUUCAGGAAAUUUCACUAGAAGAUUGGCACAAGAAUUUCCAACGUGGCAGGUAUCAUCCUCUGCGUUUUAUCACUAAUAUCACUGGAGCAUGUUGUUAUCUGGUAAAGCUCAAAAUAUUUCUAAAUUUCUAAUAGGAGGUCCUUUGACUAUAUUUUUUAUUUUUUAUUUUUCUAAUAGGAUGUUGAACCUAUUUCAUGUUUUAAUUUUUUUUUUCUUUCUUUUAACCCCUGAAGCUCUGCUUCUAUUUGUGAAGCAUGUCUUUAGCAUGUCCUUUCUGUAUCUAUGUAGACUGAAUAUUUUAGUACUUGGCAUUAGUGAGAAUCCAAAGUUGUUUUUCUUUUGUUUGUUGUAACAGUUCCUAUUGGUGGACCUGCGAUGUCAUGGUGAUUCAGCCUCAAUUAAGAAAACUGGUCCCAAUAUUGUUUCUUCCACUGCUCUUGAUGUCUUGAAACUAGUACGUAUUUCUGAGCCUUAACUAUCCUUAUUUCCAAGGAAAGUCCAUCUCUUGCAGAUUCUCUAUACUUACACUCGAAGAAAAUAAAUUAGAAGUGAUGACAUAUAAGGAAUCAGCUAAGAACCAAAUGCCUUCUACACUUAUGAUCUCAACAUGGCUUGCAUGAUUUUCAUUGUAUAAGCAGCAUUUGAACACUCCAUCUUUGUUUGUAAAUUCCUGUCUAAAAUCUUCUCUGGCAUUAGUUAAUUUCUUCUGUUAUAUUGUUUCUUCUUCCUGCAAGGUUCGGCAGCUUAGAAUAACACCUCGGGUUUUGGUUGGUCACAGUUUCGGGGGGAAAGGUACUUAGCACAGUUUUAAUAUGUCACACACUUCGUUCUAGAUCUACUAUUUCAAAUGGCUCUGAUGCUCGCUACGCUUUCUAAUUGUCAUGUAGUCGCCUUGAGCAUGGUGGAGCAAGUUGCAAAGCCUCUUGUACGACCAGUCAGAGUGAGUAAUGUAUAGUUGAUUACUGGGUUUAUGUACUUUCUGUGUAUGUGGACAUAAUCCCUUAUCAUAGUAGAUUUUAUCUUUUUAUUUCUAUUUAUUUUUCUUAGGUUUGGGUUCUAGAUUCUACUCCUGGAAAGGUUCAUCCUGGUGGGGAUGGGGAGGACCAUCCAGCAGAACUAAUAUCUGUUAAUAUUCAAUUGCUCCCUUUUCUUUCUUUAGAGUUUGAUUGCUUUUAUUAUUUAUGAUUUAUGGUUGGUAUAUUUUCUCAAACCGGUUUUUUAGUGGUCUCUUCUCAUUUUACGACUAGCAUAUACAUGAAAUCCACUCAAAUCAAUUAGAUCCAAUGGAUGAAGAUCAGCAUCACGCUGGAAGAAAAAAAAUACAGAAACACCAACACCUAGUUAUAGGUGCAUUCAGUCUCACAAUUAAGAAAAUAUGGAUGGACGACUUCCUAUCCUGUAAAUAUCAGCAACAGAUGCCCAUGAAGAUGACCAAAACGCUGCCUGAAGUCCUGAACCACAAACCCCCUCCACUCUCACCCCUCUGAAUCCUCAAAGAUGUUUCAUUGCCGUCCAAAUGACCCAAAUAACCAGCCGGACAUUGCAAUAAAAGAAAAUAAAGAAAAGUUCUCAUCCACUUUGUGGAAUGAUGCAACAAUAGAAGGCUAAGGAGCUGGGAUUUCCAUUUGCAGCCUUUGAUGAGAAAGACAAGUGGAGGGUAUAUAUUUGUGGAACAUAUUAUAUUGUUGAAGGCGAAAAAAUCCCAUAUCACCUCAUCAUCUGGUAUGACAUCCUGUAUCUUAUAUCCCAUGCAUAUGUUAUCUCGGUAAUGGGACUCUUGCUCAAGUAGUAUAAGAUUCAUGUCGUAAUAGUAAUGGGAUUCUCAUUUUAUUAGUAUUCUAAUUUCAGGAAACAGCACUUGAAAAGAAAAGAGCAGUACGUCGUGAGCUACUGUCCAGUGCUGAUGAUAAAGCCCGCCGUAUUUUCAUCACCACCUCUCUUACACGUCACCAAGUCUCCUCCCUUUCGAUUCCCCACUUCCAACGCCGCAGCUGAGGAAAUGAGUGUAGGUUAAUCUCAAAGUUGAUAGAAACAACUAACAUUGUACAACGAAAGUUUCGAAAUGAUCGAGUGUUGUUGAAUAUUUGUGCAUUUGUUUGUUAAAGUGUUGGAGGGGUUUCUUGUUUUCCAAGGUACUUUAUGGCGUUAGAUUUCACUUAUCUGAAUUUGAAUUUCGAGUCUUUGGCUCCGAUUGCUCUGUCUACUAAGUACUUUAGAUAACGGUAUUGUGUUUGUUCCAGACUUCCAGUCAAUAGAAAAGCUGUUAGCUGUUAGCUUGGUUAACUGUCAUAGAGUUUAUGCUGAAACACCAUGGCUAAGGGUAAGACCAAUUUAGGAGUUCAUUACAAAUGAAUGCACAAUGCAUAACACCCCUCCAUUUUAUUAGACGCACCCCUCUAAGUUGCUCACAAUAGAUUCGUUUUUGAAUAUUCUAGUAAACAGGACUAUAGUAAUGAUAAUGAAGUCUGUACGUAUCUCAGCAGACUUGAUGGCCAAAUGCCUUUAGAUUUAGGUCUACAUACAUAUUGCUUAGCAGUUUUCAUUGAGUGUACUGGAAUAGACGAAGGUACUGAUCGGAUAAAAUCAUUCUACCAGCCAUAUAUAGAGGGAUCUUACUUUUCUAUGUAGUAGUAAAAGAAAUGUCACGCUCCAUAUAGUUAGAUUUUGAAAAAUUUGGAUUGGAUGCGAGGAAUACCAGGCCAAGGCUUGAACUCCGGUAAGGUGCAGCUAAUCUCAACAUCCUUGCCAUUUUGACAGUAAUAUGUGAUUAGUCUGUGGAAAUAUAUAGUUUGACCUGACGCUGCAACAAAAUUUCUCAAAUUAAUAUUCAUGUUAAGAAUCCUAGCUAAUUGAGAAGUAGCCUCAGAAAAAGAAUCAUAUCAUCAGUUGUAAACAGGUCAGAGUACCUGGACCAGCUUGAGACACUUCAAUUGUUUUCCUCAACCUACUCUCUACUUCCACAGUAAUUAUAUGGGAUGAUUUCUCAAUAGAAAGAUUAAGAGAUAGGGUGAUUGCAGAUCUCUUUGCCAUUCUUGAUGGGUGAUUUUGGACACAUAAUGCAUAACAAGAUUGAUAUAUGGUUUGACACAGCUGGAUGGGUUAAUUUAUCAUUUAAAUAUCUCACUAAAUAUUAAAUAGAUUUCCUGGUCACUAAUCCCUUCAGGUUUUGGUUCUUGGUCUGGUGAAAUUUUAUGGCCGCAAAGGCACAAACCCUCAUAAUGUAUUGUCAGCCAUUUGUUUUCCUGAUUGUUACCAUAAAAGUUUGGGUUUAAACUUGUCUUUUUAGCCUUUUAUUAUCACUCAAACAGCACAGCGUACUAUAUUAAAGCACGUAGAAUUUGUUAUUGUGCUUUCUUCUCAUGGCAAAACUCUGGCUUCAAAUGAUUUGCAGGAUAUACUUCUGUUCUUUAGAAAGUUUAAUGAUUCUGUUGGCAAAGACCUUCAGUUCGUUAUUGACGAUUUAUCCACCAAGGAUUCUACAGCAGUUGGGGCGAUCGACAUGGCAUUAGGUAUGUGGAUGGAAAUUAUAUUACUUUUUCACAUCUAAGAUCUGUUCCCAUCUGAAAUAAUAAAUAUUGUCAGAAUGGAACGGGAAGCCUUUCCCCUUUAGCAAGGGAUGUAGCUUUUAUCGGUCGGAGGUCAUAAAUGGCAAGAGACAGAUUAUGUAAGGAUUUUAUAACUUAGCAGCGUAUAUAUUUUUUUUUUUUGAUCAAAAGGUGAAAUUCAUUCUAUUAUAGAGAACUUACAUCAAGGAGUAUAUAGUGGCCUCAUUAAACCCAAAAAAUUAUUGGGAAGAACCACACUCCAUAACAAAAAACUCUUACAAUCUUGACUCAUCAACUAUUAUAGAAGUUAGCCACUCCGGUACCAUUUGCCACCAAUACGUGGGGAAAGGGCAAGAUAUGGCUUGUCUAGCUACAGUAUGAGCAGCUAUAUUGCCCUUUCUAGGUACAAAACUCCAGGUACAGGUCUGAAAACAACUGAUAUAAAACUUCGCUUCCUCAAUAAGAGCUCCCUCAGCACUAUAGUCAUCAAGGGUAGAGUCCAACGCCGCAUCCCCUUAAAUAUGCAACCUUGUGAAGCCAGCCUGCAAGCAGAAAUGUAACCCAUUCACCAAUGCUACAGUUCGCAAGCUUGAGGACUAAUGUACCCCAAACCUGGUACUGCCAGCACGCCUAAGCAAGUUCCAUACUCAUCUCUGCAUACUGCUCCUGUUCCAAACAGUCCAUGAGUAACAUCCAGAGUUCCAUCUAUGUUCAGUUUAACCACCCCUGAGCUUGGUUUCUGCCAUUUAACAACUUCUCCUCUUCCACCGACCUCACUCCUUCUAAUUAAUCCCCGACCCUCCUCAAAUCGUCAAUGAUUUUAGAUUUGCUGCAAGGACCGCAUUGGAACUGGUACAUUUUUUUUUCAAGUUAAAUAUGAAAUAAAUUUACAUGUCCUUUUACAGAAACGUUUUAUAUCAAAGUGGUGGUCUCUUUGUUUCAGUUAUUGGGUGAUGAAAAGUUUCAAAAAUAUUCAGUAACACCAAUGUUAUUGUUUCUUGAUUUUAUAGGCUUUGAUGGAGUAGAAAUUCAUGGCGCCCAUGGCUACCUAAUCGUUCAAUUUUUAAAAGAUCAAGUAAAUGAUCGAACAGACCAAUAUGGUGGGUCUCAAGAAAACCGUUGCCUAUUUGCACUAGACAUUGUUGAAGCUGUUGUCAACGAGAUAGGAGCAGAUAAAGUUGGAAUUAGAUUCUCUCCAUUUUCUUACUAUAUGGAAUCCGGAGAUUCUAAGCCAAAGGAGUUGUGACUUUAUCUAGCCAAUGCCUUAAACAAGUAUGGGAUCCUGUACUGCCACAUGUUUGAGCCAAGAGAGAAAAUUGAAUGUCCCCACAGUCUUGUACCGAUGAGAAAGGCUUUCAAUGGUACCUUCAUUGCUGCUGGUGGUUUUGACAUGGAAGAUGGGAAUAAUGUAUUAAAGGAGAGGAUCAGCUUAUAACUCGAGUAGAUCAAUCUGUAACAACUGAUUGAGUUGUUUCCUUAUUCUUCUAGCCUUCCUAUUGUAACUAUACACGUCAGCCCUAUUAGCUAGGGUUAGCAGAUGUUAGGUUGUAUAUAAACCUCUUGUAAACUUGAUUAAGAUGGAUACAUAAUACAGACAUAUUCACCAGAAGCACAUUCACGCUUCUUUAUGGUACCAGAGCCACGAUCUGGGACCAAGCAGCUUUAAACCAAAAUCCUAAACACAAAUCCCGACUCACCAUCAUGACAGGUGACGAGCAGAAAGAGCUUGCUUUGUUGUUGAAGGAGAAAUUCCUCAAGGAUGAAGCCUCGGCCAGCAACGCACGCACACCGCAAGCAUGGGAGUAUUCAAAUCAUCCUCUCUACAUUCAUCAUUCGGACCAGCCUGGCAUGAUACUCGUGUCACAGUCCUUGAUGGAGGAUAACUACAAUCAAUGGNNNNNNNNNNNNNNNNNNNNUCAAUUCUUUUGCGACAAUCAAGCUGCUAUCUACAUUGCCACUAAUCCGGUAUUUCACGAACGUACUAAACACAUCGAGAUUGAUUGUCAUAUUGUGAGAGAAAAGAUGCAUGCAGGUGUGAUCAAGGCUGCGCACAUUGGUACUAAAGAGCAGAUUGCCGACUUAUUUACCAAACCAUUGAGUACUGCACAGUUUGACAUUCUUCUUAGCAAGUUAGGUGUCAUCAAUAUACACUCUAACUUGAGGGGGAGUAUUAAAGGAGAGGAUCAGCUUAUAACUCGAGUAGAUCAAUCUGUAACAACUGAUUGAGUUGUUUCCUUAUUCUUCUAGCCUUCCUAUUGUAACUAUACACGUCAGCCCUAUUAGCUAGGGUUAGCAGAUGUUAGGUUGUAUAUAAACCUCUUGUAAACUUGAUUAAGAUGGAUACAUAAUACAGACAUAUUCACCAGAAGCACAUUCACGCUUCUUUAUAAUGCUGUAGCUGAGGACCGUGCAGAUCUUAUUGCUUUUGGUCGUUGGUUCUUGGCUAAUCCGGAAUUGCCAAAGAGAUUUGAGCUUAAUGGUCUUCUAAAUAAGUACAUCAGAGAUACGUUCUACAUAUCUGAUCCGGUUCUUGGUUACACUGAUUAUCCAUUUCUUGACAGCACUGCACGAGUUUGUAGCUGACGAUGGAAGCUUGAACUCUCUUAUUUUCUCAUGCAUCUGGUCUGCAUUGAAGCUUUGUUGUUGCUUUUCUUUCAGGGCAUGUUGCACUAAAAUAAAAAUAGUAAAUACCAAGUUGGAGAGGCUGGUUAACAAUUGGUGGUGUAGCUAGCUGUUUGAUACUGUAAGGCCUAGUUUGGUAUAGCUUCACUUUAAAAAAAAUCAGCUUCUAUCUGAACUUUUAGAUUUUAUAGUGUUUUAUAAAUGAAAGAAAAGUAGUUUUUUUGAAAAUUACAGGUCAUUGACAUCAGUUUUUAGAAACAAUUUAAAUGUUACUUUUAAAAGCAGCUGUCACUAAAAACACUAGAAAUUAAUAAAUUUUAUUUUGGCAUCACUUUUAAAACUAAUAUUUAAUAAACACAAAACUGUUUUAACUCACAGCUGAUUAUUUUCGCAGUACAGCAACAUUAGUUUUUUUUAAAAUCACAACAAUACCAAACUAGCCCUAAUUAAGUUGUGGUCUCUGCAAGUAUUGUCAAGACCCACCCCGAAUUUCACCCUGAAACUCGAGGUAAGUCCUGCGGGGUCCACCUCUAAGGAAAAUUCACCGAAAAUUCGGCAUAAUCUACCUUGAAAAUAGACAACCCUUACCUGAAAAAUUCCAGAUACACUUCUAUAAUAAACUAUCCAACCUCAACUCUUGGAGCCUUCCUGCUCCCCAAGUUCAUAACAUCUCCCAUAAUACAACUAGCUUUAAUCAAAUUCUAACUAUCUCAAAUGGUUAUCAGAGCAUAUCUAUAAUGAAAUAAAAACAAUGAAUAAAGAAUAAGCGGAAGCAGCCUCUGACUAUGCCUCGACUCCAUGUACGCUCGACCUCAUUUAAACUUAGCCUGCAAACUGGGCAUUUAAAACCAAAGGGCCUAGGGAAAAGUAAUUUGAAACGUUAGAGUGAGUGGACGAAAAAUAAAUUAAAUAACUUAACUAAAAACAUAUAUAAUUUAUAUACUUUCCCAUGUUUCAACUUUAAAACUUGGUUGCACGCAACUUUGAACGUCCUUAAAACUUUAAAUCCAAAUUCACUUAAUACUGGAUAAACCAGCUCAGCUGGUUAAAUAAAAUAGAAAUCUCAAAAUGAGGGAUAAACUAGCCCCGCUGGUUAAUCAAUUAUAUAACUGAGAAAAAUAAAUAAGGGGAAGAGUUAUCACCAUGUAAAAGGAGCCUCCCAAGCUCGGGUCGAUGCCUCCCAGGCUAUAAUAGCGUCCCACGCUAACCACGCUAAGCGCUCAACUCACAUAUGAUGAGGACCGCUAAAUAAGGCUAUAACAGCGUCCCACGCUAAGCGCUCAACUCACAUAUGAUGAGGACCGCUAAUAAGGCUAGCUAACUAAUAAAUAUAAAUACCGAUCGGUUGCCUCCCAGGCUAUAAUAGUGUCCCACGCUAAACGCUCUACUCACCUAUGGUGAGAACCGCUAAUAAUGGUUAGUUAGCAAUAAUCAAUAUAAGCGACCCUAUAUUAUGGUGAUUAAAACAUACGAAGUCACUUAAAUCCAUUAAACUUCCCCAAUAUCAAACGAAUGGUACGGUUCCCAACCGUACUUGAAAAUCAUCAUAAGAAAUUAUAUUAAAACUCAAUGAUGUGUCUCACACGUCAAAACAUUCUCAAAUUUAUAAAUAUAAGCGAGAUUUCAAUAUCAAAUAUAAAUCAUAAAUAAUAAUAUCUCCACUCGAAAAUACUCGCUAAAAUAUUCUCCAAGUCAAAAUCAUUAUGCCUCAAAUAAACAAUUAAAUUAUGAUGGAGAACUACCGAAAAUCCCAUUUUCGGUAAUCAUUUAUAAAUCUCGAAGUCAUCAAAAUAAAACCGAUAAUAUUUUAAAUCCGGAGUCAUAAAAAAUAUCAAAACUCAAAUAUCAACUUUAUAACCCGAGCUCAAAUCCAUAAAGCAUGACCAACACUUAAAUCAAUGCUUCAAACUCACUAAAUUCAAAACCAUAACAUAAACCGAAAUUUUAAUAUAAUCUCGGUAAAUAAAGUAAUAAAUUAUAAAAUCUUGCAUGCUUAUUUAUUAAAAUUAAAGUGUCCACUCACAGUAUACGGCUAUGCCUUGGUAGGAGCACAAAAUGUUACGUUUACAAUGUAUUUCCGACCCUAUUUAGCUAUGUAAUUCCCUUAACAAUAUUCAUAUUAACUAAGUUUGCGUUUUUAGGUCAUAAAUAAAGCCGAGGAGCCUAAAAGAGACAAAAGAGGUGAAAUCUUGAAGGAAAAAUAAUUCAUGUUGUGCAAGGAAAGAAAUCAGAAAAUCUGUCAGAAAUAGUCAGUCAACUUCGACAGAAGAUUGUGAUUAGCUCACAACCAUCUAGGAGAUGUGCCAUAUAUCAAUGGAAAGCUACAAGAGUCUACUUUCCAAAACUUUUUACGGAUCGUCAAUAACUAUUUUGGAGAAGAAGUUAUGACCGUUUGAGUGGCCGAAGGUCAGUCUGCCCGAAUUUCUGAUUUGGACCAAAACUUCUAGUUUGAGGCCCAGGCCACAUUGGUAAGCCCAUGGAUGAGUUUUGAGGGUUUUAUAACCCUAAUCACAGCAGAAAAGAAAGGAGGAGAGAGAGGACGGGAAGAUUAGAGAGGAGGCCAGCGAUCUCACAUCAUCAGAACCUCCAUAGUUGCGGACUCGCACAAGGAAACCGCCAAGCCAUCAUUGAUCUCUCCAUCAUCCACGGUUUAUCUUUCCUUUGUCAUCUUUCAUUCUCCUUGUGUGUCUUUGCAGCCAUGUGUGGCUGAAUUCUCUUAGUUAGGGGCAAGGUUUGAAGCCUCAAGAAUGUUUUAGAUAUUGUUUAGAACCUUGGUUUCGAAUUAUUAAGUCUUUCAAAUUGUUUAUUUGGUUUUGGUUUAUGGAGAACUUUUGCUUGUUUAUGUUCAUGUAUGCGCAACAUAGAACAUUAUGAACUUGUGAGUGGGGCUAGAAUUAGGUUGUUUAAUCUCCUAAACGGUUAAUACGGCUUAGUUCAAAGUAGUAAAACCUAUAGGACAAUAGGUGAAACCAAAUAAAAAUGAUUGCAUGCUAGGUAAGCGUUCCACACUAGUUUUGCAUACUUGUUCAAUCACUUUCAUUGAUCUUUAUGCUUAGAAUAAUUUGUUGAUAGGAUAGCGUCUAUACCUUGAUCAGUUAUUCUAAAGGCUUAGUAAUGGUGCGUUCAUCUUGCUUAAGUAUUCAAGGGAAGUAAUAAGGACUUACGCGGUGCGUUCACGGUUUGUUCUUGAUUGAUACCGAUUUGUGACUUAAUAAUUGAAGCUUUGGUUGUUAACUUAUCUUGAAACAUACUUGGUGGUGGAUUUCCAAGUCUUUAACGUCUCAUCCAUCUGAUCUUUUCUGUUUUAUUUUGUUUCUUUGUUUUCUCUUGUUUAUAAUCAUAUAACCCCAUAUCUCUAGUACUAUAAUAUUUUUUUUUCUCUUGUUUUGUAAUUAACGUAAUUGUAAAGGUACCCUCAAUCCCCGGCUUUUAUAACGAUACCCUUAUUUGCUAUAUACUACAAUUGACACAAAAAGGUUUUAAUUGAAACGCCCGGUUUCGGUCGCUAUCAUGCCUGCCGUCGAUCCAAGGUCUCCCAACACAAUCCUCCUCACGUCCUGAAUAAUAAAUAAUAUUAAGUCUCCAGACUAGAUUAAAGCUUAAAUAAAUAUUUCCGAAAUAAAAAAGGAAGCCUAUAGUUUUAUCUCCCUUGCCCAACUUCUCCACUUUUAAUCUAAUAAGGCUCACAUUACUCCACACUUACCAAUAGCCAUAAAUUAACCUUUUAGAAUUUAAAACCUGCUAAACCAACUGCCGAAAUCCUACUCUAAUAACCGUCACAAUUCUUAACCAUUGAAAAAUCCCAAAUCUUAUCAAAACUCCUCCAAAAAUUCCAAACUUUACUUCAUUAAACUCCUCUCAUUAAAACCAUCUCAAAAACAUGAAAAAAUUGUCCUUAAGGGGCGGCGGCCGGCAGCUGUACUCCGGCAACCUCCAAUGCUUCCCAAAUUUUAACACAACACUACCCUCAACCUACACAACAACUUCCUUAACUAGCACAAGAUCUAUUUCUAAGCCUAACUAGGUUAAUCGAACCAAAACCUUAAAUUGAACCAUAGGACUUCAAUUAUACAUUUCUCCCUACCAAGAUCGAAUUGAGCCAAUUCCUUUUGAGGGAUUACUAACCUUGAUGAGAGCUUCAAGAUGAGCCACAAAUCCCGAGCUAUGGUGGCCGGAGGAGGGAACUCCGGUGAAGGGUUGUCCGGCGUCUCAGGCGGGAUUUCUCUUGACCGGUGGCAUCACACGCUCGGUCACCGGCCCAAGAAGAGAGAGGGGGCGACGGGGGUCCAAACGGAGCUGGUCCGGCGGUCUAUGGUGGCCGGACGGCGGUGAAUGGAGGCUGGGUCUCCGGCGGGUCGGGAGGCUUCAGGAGAGAGAGAGAGAGAGAGAGAGAGAGAGAGAGAGAGAGAGAGAGAGAGAGAGAGAGAGAGAGAGAGAGAGAGUAGAGUAGGUAGGUAGGUAGGUAGGUAGGUNNNNNNNNNNNNNNNNNNNNCUUAAUACCCCAACAAAAUAAACCCACUUAAAUUUUUUACCCCCUUUUUACUAACUCAAAAUUUACCCUUUUUAUCUGAUAAUUUUUUCGUGCUAACUCCGAUUUUUGCGUAUAACAUGUCUAUGAACUCAUAUUAACGUCCUAUACAACUUCCUUAAAGAAAGUUUUCCAAAAUAACUUGCCUACAAAAAGUCAAUUAUAAGGUCUUUAACAGUAAACGGUUACUUAACACGGUAAAAGACCAAGAUAAAACCAAAAAUAAAUAACCGUAAAAUAACUUAAGAACCGGGGUUUGACAAGUACCCUUUAAGCAGUGGCGGAGCCAAGAUUUACACUUAGAGGGGGUUCAAGUUUGACGAUAGACGACUCGAUUUGGAUUUAAUUAUUUUAUUUAAAUAUAAUUUUAAAUUAUUUUCGUUAACUAUAUGCUAAAUGUAGCAGUAUUUAUACAUCAUCUAUCAUCAAAAAAUUUAUAAAUUUUUAUUUAGUUUCAAUAAAGACAAUAAAACGUCACUCAUAAAAAAAAUUAAGUAAAAAGCGUUGAUGGCAAUAAUUUAGACGUUUAAACCUGAAAAUCUUGUAGAACCAUAUUUAUACAUUGGCGGAGCCAGUUCAGGACUAGUGAGGGCCCGUGCCCCCAUUAGAUUUCAACAUAUAGCUGUGUUUUGAUCUGAUGUGCCCCCAUUCCCUCACUAGAAAUCUUACAAUUGUAUUGGUUUAAUAUAUAAAAAUUUCAUAAAGCCCCACAAUUCCCACAAAACAAGAGAAAAAGGAAGCUAUGCACUCUUGAAUAUAUAAUUGAAAAGUUUAAAAUAUGAAAAUCAAGUCGUUUGCUGCGUUAAUGUCAAAAAAAAAGAAGGAGAAAUUACUGGUCACUCCAUUAACUUUCAUGCGCUCGACAGUUUACUCCAUUAACUUUCAAUUUCAAUCGAUCACUCCUCAAACUAUCCAAUGUCACACAAUUAGGUCCAUCCGUUAAGUGGCCGUCCAAAUCAGUGGUUAAGUCGCUGACUGGACAUAUUUUUUAACUGGAAAUUCUAUUUAAUACCCACCUCUCUCUCUCUCNCUCNCUCUNNNCNNCUCNNNNNNNUNUNUNNUNUNUNUCUCUCUCUCUNUCUACUACUACUCUCUACUACUACUAUACUACUACUACUACUACGUACGUACUACUACUACGUACUACUAUAUACUACUAGUACUACGUACUACUACUAUACGUACGUACGUACGUACUACGUACGUACGUAACUACGUACGUAACUUACGUUAACUUAAGUUACGUUAAGUUAGUACUACGUUACUAAGUACGUUACGUUACGUAGUAUAUUAUUAUAUAUAUUAUUACUACUACCUCUCUCUCUCUCUCUCUCUCUCUCUCUCUCUCUCAAAGUAGGCAUAUUUCAUGAAGCCAACUUCAGAUGAAUCAAAUAAACUCCUGUGAACCACUUACUGGUUGUUUUAUGACAGAACAUUAAUGUAUGAUGUCGUGGCAACAGAAUUGAAACAACUCCUUCAUGAGAAACUUCCAAGAGCCCAGAAACCAACUCCACAAAAAGCUUUAUGAAAAGCUGAUGAUUUUUGUUGCCCAGGAUGCCAACUAUAUGCACGAUUUACGCCAUGCUCUGAUGCAGUGGCGUAGCUAGAAACUCGAUUUAGAAGGGUCAAGACUUAAACGGCUAUUAAGGUAAGACAAAAUAUCGAUAACCUAGUUGUUUCAUGUAAAAUCUUUUAAUAGUUGACUUAUACCUAACUUUAUAAAUUACCUCAUUCGAUUGAUUCAUUAGAGAAACAUCGAUUAUAAAUUGCUUUUUCCUUUGCAUUUAUAGAAAUUAAGAAGGAAUUUAUCAAACAUUACAACUAGAAAGGGAAAUAAUAUUAUUUGUUAGAACUUAAUUAGGAGGGUCAUUUCUAUAUAAAAUUUAACUAAUCCACCAAAGAUUACACAUGAGAAGGGUCACUUGACCCUUCUCGGCCCCCUCUCCCUACGCCCCUGCUCUGAUGACGUUUCUGAUCAGUUCUUGACCUGGGAUUGUAGUACAACAAUGUACUUGAAGGAUUGAUGAAGAUAAUGGCCAAAUAAACCAUGAAAGAUGGCACGGAUGAUCUCACACAACAUCUCCAGGAAAGCUGAUUCUGAAAUUUCCAGCUUUUGCUUAUUAAUUGGCUGACUUCUUGAGCUUGUAUCUUGAUCGUCCCAUGGCUGAUAUGGAUGACUCUUGAUUCCACAAUGUUCUAUGACAUCACAUGUUGAUGUGAAAAUCAAUACCUCAAUGAUAGGUACGCGUUAAGACAAAGAAGCAAAGCCACAAAACACAAUGUAGUUAAGUUCUGGAAAAAGGCUGUUUUAAGCUGUCAACUUCUGGAGCUCAUAACUCAUGCUACAAAGCAGCGAAUGGCAUGAUUCUUUUUCAGAUUUGAAGUCCAAUAUCAUGGCUCAAUAAUGGUGUAGGGCGAACAGACAUUAAACCCUUGCAAGGAAGCGCGAAUGAGCCACGAAAAUGCCUCAGAGGAGGCCUAACUAUCUGAAACUUUCAGAAUUCUGCAUUGUAGGGGCUGACUUCCUUAACGAGCUCCAUGAGCUUUCCUUGUGAUUUCUGAGCAAAAUAAUAGCUGAAUUUGAAACCAAGACGAAUUUUUAAACCAAACCGGAAGACUGAGGGAGAUCUCUUGAAACCAAACCGGAGGGCGUUGGUGCGGUUGGUGGCGAGAGGUGGGACCAACACGUUGGGGAUGGUGAGGAGGAGGGUGGUGUUGGAGUAGAGGAAGGCGCGGACGAGGUUGGGGUCAGAGAUGUCAAGGCGAAGGGCGGCGAGGCCGAGGGAAGUUACGGUCGAGGCCACGUGCUCUAGUAGCGGAGGGGGUAGGUGGCGACGGUGGAGGCGGAAUAGGUGACGCCGAUGGUGGUGGAGGAGGCGGCAUCCGGCGAGGCGGUUGCGACGAGGAAGAGGAGGGUGAUGAGAGAAAAUGUGGAGAGAGAAAAGUGGGAAGCCAUGGCUGGCUAAUGGGUUUUAAAUGCGAGAGAGAGAGAGAGAGAGAGAGAGAGAGAGAGAGAGAGAGAGAGAGNNNNNNNNNNNNNNNNNNNNNNNNNNNNNNNNNNNNNNNNNNNNNNNNNNNNNNNNNNNNNNNNNNNNNNNNNNNNNNNNNNNNNNNNNNNNNNNNNNNNNNNAAAAAAAAAAGUCAUUUUGUUGCGUUUCUUUUCCUGAAAACUCCAACACAACGAGCUAAGACAAAUUUUGCCCCCAUACAGGUUUUGUUUCUCCCUCCGGCAUUGUAUUUAUACCUAUCGACAUGAAAGAUAUUGUGAAUGAUAAUUUAGUUUCGCACCAUUUCAGUCCAUGCUAGAUAGAGAUAAGAGAAGGAGACGCACAAAAUUGAUAUAAAAUUGAAAAGUUAAAAAGUUUUUUACAUUAAUAAAAUUGAAAUUAUUCCUAACAUAUUUACCAUUAUUAACCAACCAUUUUAUUAUCGGGAGACACCAACUGUUUGUGGAUCCCAAUUCACAAUAAUAAAAUAUUAAUUAUAACAAAAUAAUUAGUCAUUUUUGAUCUGAUUACUUUUUGUUUCCCUUACCUAUAAAUGGGACACCUGGGGUUCACAUUUUGAAAUCAACUCAUAUUAAGUAACUUUUAUUGAUGCAACACAUCAAAUACGAGAUCUGAUAGAAAGCUGGGAGGGGUCCAGACCCCAUCGGCCUUAGAUGUAGUUCCGCCCCUGCCUUCAAGUGUUUCAUUGUAGCUUGUGGCUAUGCGAAGAUGCAACUGAUUGUAUCCUUGUACAACAUGAAUUCAAUAAAGAUGACCUGUCUUUUAGCUAUGUAAUGAUCAUUAUUCUUUCCGGCUUAAAAUGAAAAAUUUGAGACAUUUUUUUUCUCUUAAAAUAGAAAAAAAAAAAAUACACAAAAAAAGAAGAAAUUGUGCCAACAGGUGCACGACGUCACUCUGCUUCUGCAUUUUCAAUUUUCAAAGAAAGACAACAUAUUAUGGCUACAAGUCAGCACUGGCAGCUCAGUGAACCACAAACCACGUAACUCCGCACGUCACUGAGCAUCUAAUCAUCAUUAUACAAGCCCACGAGCUUCGGAAAAGCUAAAGCAGGACAGUGACAAUGGACCCAAUCGUUUCCAAGUAGCCGACUUUGUCUUCUAGUUCACUCUCAAACGUAUAUAGCCCAAUUGUGUCUUCCAUUCAUUUCCAAACCAGAACAACUAGAGCUCCAACAGCUUGAAGUACCUAGAUUGCAAGACCAGAUAGAUGGCUAACCAAGCUCCCACACUUCCUCUCCUUACUCCUUACAAGUUGGGAAAGUUUGAUCUUUCUCACAGGUAAACUUUGCCUAAAUCUUUGUCUCUCUGCAUUUUUACAUUGGUUGAUUAUUGCAGUGCCCAAGAACAUGUUUUGCUUUUUCAUCUUCCAAAUUUCAUUUGGGUCAUAAUAUGAUCUGGGUUUUAGUUUAUAAAUUGAGACCAUUGUGUGUGUCAAAAGUCCAAAUUGAACAACAAUAAGAAAGUUUACUGCUUUAGUAUAAAUAAGUCUUGCGUUGUGAUUGGUUUGAAAUACUUGCUCAAUCUUACUUUGCAUUGCUAAGACCCAAAAAAUUGUUGGGUUUGGUUGAAUUUGUGUGUUGGGGAUAUGAUUUGCAUGAUUUUGUCUGGGUUUGGUUCUGUAAACUUAGAAGACCAGGUGUUUGAGGGAAGUUCCAAAUGAGAAAAUGAGGAAAUUGGAAAUGUGCACUGCUUUUUGUGUAUUGUAAAUGAAAUUCUUCACUGGUAGUCUAGCAUCUUUUUAAUCAUGGGUUGUUUGUUCUUUUAGUGUGAGCGAACAAUGGAGAUGAUAAUCUUGAACCUUGAUUCGCUGGGUCUGUACACUAUUGUUUCUAGCAUUAGCAUAUUCUCAUCACUUCUAAAUUUAGAUGGCCAAUAGUUUGGGGAAAUCCCAAUUAGUGAACAAGGACUGGAAAAAGUUGACUGCUUUUGUGAUUUCUCAAAUUAGUUUAGCUAUGGUCUUUGGUUGUGGAUUAGCUUAGCUUACAUUACAUCAGCGGUAAUAUUUUUGUAGUAGUUUAGCAUCUUCUGCCACCAUGCAUUUGUUCGAUCUUUAAGUUUGUGUGAACAAUGGAGGCCAUACUUUCAAACCUUGGACAUAUCAAAAAUCUAAAGUCAGUGUUAUUUGUGUAAUUGGAACACUGCACAUAGUAUAUGUGGUCAGCGGUAAAAGGACAGAAAUUAGAAUCAAUAAGCUUCACAUCUUGAAACAAAUUGUCUGCAUAUCUGAUUAGUAAGACGACACAUCAGACGGGGAUAGUACAUGUGCAAGGUGUGAAGCGGGGAAGGGUUUAUUACAACUGAACUAUGCCGCUUUGAAUUCAUCGUUGAAUUUCUUUUUUAAUUGCAGUUGAUAAAUAUGUGUCCUUCUUGAGCAUUUCAUUAUCUGUUUUAUGUUUGGUAAUGUUUCAUAUUUUGUUCGGCUAAGAUAAUUUGAUAAUUUUCUGUCGCUAGUUAUGUUAGGUCUUUUAAACUUAUCACUGCUCAUGUAGAUGUAAUUCCAUAAAAACUGCCUAUGUCUUGAAGAAACUAUUGAUGGUUAUUGAUAAGUGUUUACUUUGUUUAUCCAUUCCAGAGUUGUUUUAGCACCAUUGACUAGACAGAGAUCAUACAGAAAUGUUCCCCAGCCACAUGCCAUCUUAUAUUACUCUCAGAGAACAUCCAAAGGGGGUCUUCUCAUAAGUGAAGCCACUGGAGUUUCAGACACAGCACAAGGGUAACUUAAUCAUAAAGAAUAGCUAUCAUGUUUCUUUCUGUAAAAUUCUAAAUCACAAGAUGCAUUAGAAUUUUUUUUUGGUCGAAGAUGCAGUAGAAUUUGCAAUUUCCCCAUUUCAAAACUUGACACUUGUUGUUUCUUUUGUAUAUUAAGGUAUCCAGAUACUCCUGGUAUAUGGACCAAGGAGCAAGUUGAAGCAUGGAAACCCAUUGUCAAUGCUGUACAUGCUAAAGGGGGUAUCUUCAUCUGUCAGAUUUGGCAUGUCGGGAGGGUUUCAAAUAGUGGUGCGUCCCUGACUUAUACAUUUAUGACAUGACUUUAUCAUGGAAACCCAUGCGUGUAGUGACUUAUUAGACUAGUGAUACAUGAUUAUGUUUGAUUGGGUCCAGAGAACCUGCAUGCAUAGUAUCUGUAUUAUACCGAACGAUCUAAAACCUAUCCUUUUAUAAACAUCUUUUUCAGUAAUAUUAUUAUUUAUCAACGUUGCUUCUGUUAUGGGGUUGCUGUAUAUCAAUGAAUUUAAUAUUUCUUCAAUAUAAUCUGUUGUGUUCUCAUAGUGAUUCUAUCCCUCUUUGCUUAUAGGCUAUCAGCCGAAUGGGCAAGCUCCAAUCUCUUCUACUGACAAGCCCCUAACCCCCCAGAUACGAGCUAAUGGCAUUGAUGUUGCGCAAUUCACACCUCCAAGACGAUUAAGGACAGAUGAAAUUCCUCAAAUUGUCAAUGAUUUUAGACUUGCUGCAAGGAAUGCAAUGGAAGCUGGUAAUAUUUGUUCAAGUUAAAUAUGAAAUAAAUUUACAUGGUCCAUUUACAGAAACGUAUUAUAUCAAAGUGGGGUGCCAAUAGUAUCUUGUUUGAGGAUGAAAAAAAUGUAGUGGAAAAUAUCAAUUUCUUACUUUUACUAUGUUAUAUGAUAAAUAAAUUAUCAUGGUCUCUUUGUAUAUGUUUUUGGUGAUGACAAGUUUCACAAGUUUUCAAUACACUAAUGUUAUUUUUUUAUGAUUUUCAGGCUUUGAUGGGGUUGAAAUCCAUGGCGCCCAUGGCUACCUAAUCGAUCAAUUUUUAAAAGAUGAAGUAAAUGAUCGAACAGACCAAUAUGGUGGGUCUCUAGAAAACCGUUGCCGAUUUGCACUAGACAUUGUUGAAGCUAUUGUCAACGAGAUAGGAGCAGAUAAAGUUGGAAUUAGAUUAUCUCCAUUUGCCAACUAUAUGGAAUCCGGAGAUUCUAAUCCAAAGGAAUUGGGACUCUAUCUAGCCAAUGCCUUGAACAAAUAUGGAAUCCUGUACUGCCACAUGGUUGAGCCAAGAAUGAAGACAGUUGGAGAAAAGUUUGAAUGUCCCCACAGUCUUGUACCCAUGAGAAAGGCUUUUAAUGGUACCUUCAUUGCUGCUGGUGGUUUUGACAGGGACGAUGGGAACAAUGCUGUUGCUGAAGGCCGUGCAGAUCUUAUAGCUUUCGGUCGUUGGUUCUUAGCUAAUCCGGACUUGCCAAAGAGAUUUGAGCUCAAUGCUCCUUUAAACAAGUACAACAGAGAUACUUUCUACAUAUCUGAUCCGGUUCUUGGUUACACUGAUUAUCCAUUUCUCGACAGCAAUGCUCGAGUAUCCAGCUGAGUAUGGAAGCUUGAACCCUUAUACUUUAUUCCUGCAUUGGUCUGCUUUAAAGUUUUUGUGUUACUUUUCUUUCCCAGCAUCUACACCUAAAAAAAUAUAAGUAGCAAAUACAAAGUUGCCGAGGCUGGUUAACCAGACUGUAGAGUUCUCAAUUCUUGUAGUGUGGCUGGUUGAUAUUGCAAGUCGUUGUACUCUGCAAGUGCGGGGUCAAGUGUCUUAUUGUAGAUUGUUGCUACGUGAAGAUGCAAACUGAAUGUAGCCCCUUGUACAAGAUGAAUUCAAUAAAAAUGGCCUGUCGUUUGACAUGUACCAACUGCUGGAUCUCCUGUUAAACAAAAUGAGAUGGUGAAGAUGAAUUUCUGUAUAUUGCAAUAGCAUAUCAACAGUACAAGGCUAACUAAUAUAUACAAGAUAGAGCUAAAAUCUCUCUAGCCUUAAUGUUAAUUGUGUUUAGAUCCACAAAUCAAUCCUAUCACAUAUUUGGAUGCCAACUACAGAUAAAUGCAUAUCAGCAACAUGAAUGCAGAUUUUCCUUUAAUACCUAUACCUGUUUUUGUGUAUCUUAAUGAUGAGAAUCAUUGAGAGAUACCUGACUAACCUGAGGAAACAAUGACUUAUGAACUUUGCUGUUGACUGUGACAUUGCCUUGCAAGUGAAAAUACAUUACAAGUUGCAUGAUCACGAUUCAUCAUCAUCUUAUUAGAUCAAACCGCUGUAUGAAGAUCAAGUUUUAUCUUUCCUGGUGAUUGGUGAGCUUGUAGAGUUGUAGCCAAGCUUUUACUUUGAUAGAAUUAUGGAUUGUGAAUUUGGGCAGGUCUAGAGUGUGUAGAUGGUGAAGAAGGCAUGGAAUUAUCUCUUCCAGAUUCCAGACACACAUGUACAAGUUCUAAUUAUUUCACAGGUAGAUUUUCCUCUUCAAUCUCUACUCCUUGGUUGAACUGUAGUUUCCCCUGAAACUGUAAGAGCUUGGGACAUUUCAUUUUCUGAGGAACUGCCAUCUUCUCUGCUUGUUGGCAAUUCCUGGAUUGUUUUAGGCAAUUAGGAACGUUAGGUGGGGAUUAUACUGGAUAAGUAGGCAAUUUUUGGUUACUGUUGCCUACUGAAGGUAUAAAGACAGACCUGGGUAUUUUAUUCAUAUUUUCUUAGACAAAACGAAAAAAUAAACCAACCAAAUAAAUCAGUGAACUGUUACAUGUCUGCUCUCAAGCUUCCACUACUCCUCAUUUUAUUCCAUACAAAUUGGGAAAGUUCAAUCUUUUUCAUAGGCAGUUAGUGUUCUGUGCGUUUCACAUUGUAUUGGGUCAUUCUGUUGGUACGUGCAGGAAUCACCCAUACGACUAAUGGCCUUGUCAUGCUGCAAAUGAGGUUUCUCUAUUUAGAAGCAAGUCAUUCCGGAAAGUCCCACUUGGCUAAAAAGCACAAAUGGGUUUAGUGUUCUGUAAGUUUUAGUUUACUGGCUUGUUUAUUUUGUUGUGUUUGUCAAAUGUAGUCUAUCAUUCACUACACAUUUAUUCAAAAGGCAACUGAAAAGUCGUCGAGUAUUAUUCGACAGGAUAUAUAUGAUGCAACUUCACUUCUACCCCUCUAUGUAUAUAGAUACCUCAUUUGCAAAAAGCAUUUUAUAGUUGCAUGAAGAAGAGUGCAUAUCCAACUGUGUGAUUGUUCUUACUGAUCUUGUUGUUGUUGUCAUGGGAUCAGAGUGUUUUGUUGAUUAAUUGAUAAUUUGGUGAUAUGAUUAUGAGAGGCCGACGAUCCCGGCAAGGAUGGCGGAGAAGCGGAGGAGGAAGAGGCCGUAAUGGGUGUUGCCAUUAGGUUUAGGGGAGGUGGGUAAGGAGACGAAGGUGGUCGUAAUGACGGAGAUAUCGGAGAUUGGGGCGGCCGAGUUUGGGUUGGAGAAAGGGAAAGAGAAGAGACCGGGUUUGGAGUUGGGCCGGGUUUGGAUUUUGGGUUGGUUUUGUGUUUGAGGUUUGAGGUUUGAGGUUUAGAGUUCGGGGUCUUGGGGUUUACGGUUGGAAAUGAAAACGAAAAUGAAAUUUCUAUAUACUAGAUCAUUUUUAGAGAAGAUAUAGAUUAUUAUUUUUUGAACAGGGACUAAACGGCCGUCUUCAUGCCUUAACCAUUAACGAAACCAUUGAAUACAAGGGGGGAUAUAAAGUCUAAAUCCCAAAUUACCUAAACAUCCCGAAAUAAUAACAGGAGUUUUCAAUUCUAUGCAUUCUAACAAACACUAUUUAUUAAGGAGUGCAUCAUUCGCUACUCUAUUUGUUUUACAGUUUUGGCGAUAUGCCGAAAAGACAAUGCUCAUGAGGACCCAUAAGUUGCCACUGGAAAAUAUUAUCAGUGACACUGAGUUUCAUCUCGUCAUUAAGAGGCUGCGACCAUUUUGAUGAAGCAAGAAACUCUAUCACAAAAUUCUUUUUCAUUUUUUAGAGAAUGAACGAAAUUUUAUCUUUCCGAUGGAGUGAAUUUUUUUUUUUUAUUUCAAUGGGCUUUAUUUAUCAAAAGAAAAAAAGCAUACCAAUAAUAAAAGAAAUAAAUAAACUAAAUUAAAUUGUUAUAAUAAAGCGGUGUGUAGAUAAAUGGCUAAGAUCACUCUAUUACAAAAUUCUUUUUCACUCGGUAAUUUUUGUGAUUUGAAACUUACAAAUUUUAAUCAACAACUCUGGGAUUUGAAAAAUACUGUGAAAUUUUAAAUAUACUUCAAAUUUUUACAUGGAUUCUUUUCCAUGCUUACAUUGGAAGUUGGAAUUUUUAUUUUCAUAUAUUUAUGACGGUAUAACUUGUUUAGUAUGUUAUAUGCAAAUGUAUAUAAUUGUGAACCAACUAUACAGAGAAAGCAAAUUUUUCGAAACUCUUGAGAAAUAAGAUGUGUUCGAAAUAGUGAAAUACAAUUAGGGUUGAAAAAUCAAAAGUUUCCGUUUUUAAACCCUGAUAAAAACAGUCAACUCCUAAGGGGAGCCUAACCACUGGAGGGACAAUUCAACAAAAAAAAAUAAAAAUUCAUGGGAUCAUAAAUCUCAUAUAUACGAGCUUUUUUUUCGAAAGGGAAAUUUUAUUUACACAUUCUAUUUUUCUUAAUACACACCUCUUUCUCUUUUUUUGCCACAUUUUCCCUAUUUUUUCCUCUUUUACCCUUCUCUCACAUAGUCUGCAACUUCGUCUUUAUGAUCUAUGCUCUGCAGCAUCAGAAACACAACAACUCCAUCUCUUAGUGUUGAACCCCAUCUCUUUCCUUAUGGAACUCUACAAUCUCGUUAUCUUGGGAUAAUUAUGGUUGACGAAUUCAAUUUGACAAACCUCAUAUACAUAAUCCGAUUAAUCCCCAAUAAGUUGCUGUUCUAAACCUAAAUGUGUAUAUAUAAACAUCAUAUCUCCAUAUCUUUGUAAAUUAGUUUCAGCAUGCUUUGCUAAUCCUAUAUUCACUUGCAAGCUUAUGAGCUUUAGAAAGAUGAUUCAUUUGUUUAAGCAAUGGUUUUUUUUUUUCCUUAUCAUUCAGUAUGGCACUACGCUCAUAUAUGGCCAUAUAAAAAUACAUAAUACUCUUGGUAUGAUAAACAUUAUCAUCACAAAUGAGUACUAGUAAGAUGGAAUGAUUACUUGCCGGCAGCCCUCCAAUCUAAAGUCAUUAGAUUGUAUGGAGUUAGAUAUAUGCUGUUAGUUUUUCAUUGAAAGAAGAGGGUAAAACGGUGAUUUAUGAAUUUAUAAAAAUAGGGGUUUGUAUGUAAGAAUUAGUGAUGUGUUAAUAAAAUUUCUCUUUUCGAAAACAGAAAAGAAAAAAAAGAAAAUAAGGUCUCGCAUAUUUAAGGUCGACCGAUUGGAUGAGAGGCGUAACAAAUCGCGCAUGCAUGGAACUUGGAGAGAGAUCGAAGACGAGGAGACUCAGCGGUCUUCUGCGUUUUCCGGCUACGUUUCGGUCUACUCAAAGCGGAGGAGGAAACCCAGAUAUCAAAAGGCAAAACCCAUGUUGAUGGUGUUGGGAGAAACCCAAAAAUCAUGCAGACCCUUUCUCACCCUAAUUGGCCUACUAACAGUUACAGAAACUUAAACCCCACCAAUCUUCUCUUCUUCUCCUUCCUCGAACUUGUACAGCCAACACCACCACCACAUAAUUGAAGACCAACAUCCCCGGAGGACGAAGGGAAUUAUAACAGCCACAACCGAUUGCGUCUGUGGCUUGGGUCCUGCAAGCUGAUCCACGUGUUGAAAUGAACGGUCAGGAUGCCUAGUCGUGCAUAGAAUAGUCUUCGGUAAACGACGUCACUCUCUGCUUCGGCAUUUUCAAUUUUCAAUUUUCAAAGAAAGAGAACAUAACUUUGUGUCCAAGUAUCCGACUUUGUCUUCUAGUUCACUCUCAAACGUAUAAAAAGAUUAAAAACCCAAUGGUUUCUUCCAUUCCUUAACAGAACUACUGAAACUCGAACAACUUGAUUGAAUAUUAGAUAGAUGGCUAACCAAGCUCCCACACUUCCUCUCCUUACCCCCUACAAGUUGGGAAAGUUCGAUCUUUCUCACAGGUAGGCUUUGCUUAAAUCUUUGUCUCUCUGCAUUUUUACUAUGCCGCUUUGAAUUCAUCGUUGAAUUUCUUUUUUAAUUGCAAUUGAUAAAUAUGUGUCCUUCUUGAGCAUUUCAUUAUCUGUUUUAUGUUUGGUAAUGUUUCAUAUUUUGUUCGGCUUAGCUAGUUAUGCUAGCUCUUUCAAACUUGUCACCGGUCAUGUAGAUGUAAUCCCAUAGAUACUGUCUAUGUCUUGAAGAAAGUAUUGAUGGUUGUAUUGAUAAGUGUUUACUUUGUUUAUCCAUUCCAGAAUUGUUUUAGCACCAUUGACUAGAUCGAGAUCAUACGGAAAUGUUCCCCAGCCGCAUGCCAUCCUAUAUUACUCUCAGAGAACAUCCAAAGGGGGUCUUCUCAUAAGUGAAGCCACUGGAGUUUCAGACACAGCACAAGGGUAACUUAAUCAUAAAGAAUAGCUAUCAUGUUUCUUUCUGUAAAACUCUAAAUCACAAGAUGCAGUAGAAUUUGCAAUUUCCCCAUUUCAAAACUUGACACUUGUUGUUUCUUUUGUAUAUUAAGGUAUCCAGAUACUCCUGGUAUAUGGACCAAGGAGCAAGUUGAAGCAUGGAAACCCAUUGUCAAUGCUGUACAUGCUAAAGGGGGUAUCUUCAUCUGUCAGAUUUGGCAUGUCGGGAGGGUUUCAAAUAGUGGUGCGUCCCUGACUUAUACAUUUAUGACAUGACUUUAUCAUGGAAACCCAUGCGUGUAGUGACUUAUUAGACUAGUGAUACAUGAUUAUGUUUGAUUGGGUCCAGAGAACCUGCAUGCAUAGUAUCUGUAUUAUACCGAACGAUCUAAAACCUAUCCUUUUAUAAACAUCUUUUUCAGUAAUAUUAUUAUUUAUCAACGUUGCUUCUGCUAUGGGGUUGCUGUAUAUCAAUGAAUUUAAUAUUUCUUCAAUAUAAUCUGUUGUGUUCUCAUAGUGAUUCUAUCCCUCUUUGCUUAUAGGCUAUCAGCCGAAUGGGCAAGCUCCAGUCUCUUCUACUGACAAGCCCCUAACCCCCCAGAUACGAGGUAAUGGCAUUGACGUUGCGCAGUUCACACCUCCAAGACGAUUAAGGACAGAUGAAAUUCCUCAAAUUGUCAAUGAUUUUAGACUUGCUGCAAGGAAUGCAAUGGAAGCUGGUAAUAUUUGUUUAAGUUAAAUAUGAAAUAAAUUUACAUGUCCUUUUACUAAAACGUAUUAUAUCAAAGUGGGGUGCCAAUAAUAUCUUGUUUGAGGAUGAAAAAAAAAAUGUAGUGGAAAAUAUCAAUUUCUUACUUUUACUAUGUUAUUUGAUCAAUAAAAUAUCAUGGUCUCUUUGUUUCAAUUCAGUUAUUGGGUGAUGAAAUGUUUCAAAAAUAUUCAGUAACACCAAUGUUAUUGUUUGUUGAUAUCGAUUUUCAGGCUUUGAUGGGGUUGAAAUCCAUGGCGCCCAUGGCUACCUAAUCGAACAAUUUUUAAAAGAUGAAGUAAAUGAUCGAACAGACCAAUAUGGUGGGUCUCUAGAAAACCGUUGCCGAUUUGCACUAGACAUUGUUGAAGCUGUUGUCAACGAGAUAGGAGCAGAUAAAGUUGGAAUUAGAUUCUCUCCAUUUUCCGACUAUAUGGA